ACGACACCCGUAGUAGCGGCGAGCGAACCGGGUGAGGCCUAAACCGUGCGCGUGCCAAGGGAGCAGCCGUUGCGCGCACGGGGUUGGAGGACGACCCACGCCCAUCCUGCUCGAUGGGCCUCACGCGACCGCGUUCAGCAGAAGCAGUGUGGAACCCUGCACCAGAGAGCGUGAGAGUCGCGUAUGCGUGCGCCUCAGCGUGAGGGGUCGUUCCUGAGUAGGUCCGGGCACGAAGAACCCGGGCUGAAGCCGGGCAGACCACUGUCCAAGGCAAGCUACACGCAGUGACCGAUAGCGCACAGUACCGUGAGGGAACGGUGAAAAGUACCCCGGUGAGGGGAGUGAAAGAGACCCUGAAAUCGUGUGCUUCCACGCCGUGGGAGCCGGGCAACCGGUGACCGCGUGCCUUUUGGAGUAUGAUCCGGCGAGUAAUCCUCGGUGGCGUGGUUAAGGCAGUGCCAGCCGGAGCCGGAGUGAACGCGAGCCUGAACAGGGCGAGCGUCGCCGGGGAUUGACCCGAAACCGUGUGAGCUACCCAUGGCCAGGCUGAAGCGUCCCUAACAGGGCGUGGAGGGCCGCACCGGUGUCUGUUGCAAAAGGCUCGGAUGAGCUGUGGGUAGGGGUGAAAUGCCAAUCGAACACGGAGAUAGCUGGUUCUCCCCGAAAUGUAUUGAGGUACAGCCGCGGCAAUGGCACACCCGGAGGUAGAGCACUGUUGUUGUGCGGGGGCUUCACCGCUUACCAAGCGACGGCAAACUGCGAAUGCCGGGUGUGUGCACCGCGAGUGAGACGGCGGGUGCGAAUAUCCGUCGUCGAGAGGGAAACAACCCAGACCGCCGGCUAAGGUCCCCCAGUGGUCGCUAAGUGGGAAAGGUUGUGGCGCCGCUUAGACAACCAGGAGGUUGGCUUAGAAGCAGCCAUCCUUGAAAGAGUGCGUAACAGCUCACUGGUCAAGCAGCGCUGCGCCGAGGCUGUAACGGGGCAAAGCGACCCACCGAAGCCGCGGGUUGACCGGAAGGUCAACGGUAGGGGAGCGUCGUGACCGCAGGGAAGGGACGGCGGAAGCCGCACUGGAGCGGGCACGAGUGCGAAUGCCGGAAUGAGUAACGGAGAAGCGAUGUGGCAAUCAUCGCCACCGAAAGUCAAAGGGUUCUGCCGCACGGAUGCACCGCGGCAGGGUAGUCGGGCCUAAGGGGACGGCCACGGCCAGACCCGAUGGACAACAGGUGAAUAGUCCUGUACCGUGGAGUGGUCGCUUGACCAAUGCCGGAUGCUGAGGGGUAGUCGCCGCGGCGAGACGAGCGCCGUCCAAGCCGGUAGGGAGCAGGGCGAAGGAAAUCCGUCCUGCGCUGACCGAGAGGUGAGUGAAAGGGGGUUGGGGAACCAACCGCCAAUGGCGAGGCGCCUGUGCAGCCACGAAAGGCCGGCUCGGGAGACCACCCACGCCCGUACCGCAAACCGACACAGGUAGACAGGUCGAGGAGACCAAGGUGGACGAGUGACCCCCGGUUAAGGAACUCGGCAAAUUGACCCCGUACCUUCGGAAGAAGGGGUGCUGCGUGUAGGGUGAAGCCCCUGGCGGGUGGAGCCCGAGGCAGCCGCAGGGUCCAGGCCCGGGCGACUGGAUACCAGAACCACAGCUCCCUGCUGAAGCCGGAAGGCGACGUAUAGGGGGUGAUGCCUGCCCAGUGCCGGGAGGUUAAGGGG
rnacentral:rRNA from 1 species